UACGUAGGGGGCAAGCGUUGUCCGGACUUACUGGGCGUAAAGCGUGUGCAGGCGGGUGGGUAUGUGCCGUGUGAAAGCUCUCAGCUUAUCUGGGAGAGGUCGCGGUAGACAGGCUGCCUGGAGGCUCGGAGAGGUCAGUGGAAUUCUCGGUGUAGUGGUGAAAUGCGUAGAGAUGUGGAGGAACACCAGUGGCGAAGGCGACUCUCUGGACUGUGACUGACGCUGAGGCGCGAAAGCGUGGGGAGCAAACAGG
rnacentral:rRNA from 1 species